AUGGCCGCCAGUCCCAAGCCCCAGCUCCUCCUCCUCCUCGUCGUCGCCGCCGCCCUGGUCGUCGCGUCCUGCCACGCGGCACGGCUACCACAGGCCGCCGCAGGUGGAGGCUUGGCGGCGGAGAAGUCGCACAGGGACCCCAGCUGCCUGGAGCUCACGCAGGUGCAGUGCCAAAUUACGCCGUGCACCAAUUACUGCUUCCGCAUCGGGCUCAACACCACGGGCUAUUGCACCUUCAAAGGCCUCAACGUCUACUGCUGCUGCCCUGUCCCGGCCGCCGACGCCGGCACCGCCGAGCUGCCGGCCUCCCUCUCCCCCUCCGGCCCUCAGGCCGGUUUAGUUUAG
rnacentral:rRNA from 1 species